CUGGAAGCUGCAUCCCUCCACCCCGCCCAGCUGCUGGGGCUGGAGAAGACCAAGGGGAGUCUGGACUUUGGUGCUGAUGCAGGUGAGUCCCCACACAUACAAGGGGUUGAAUCUGGGGCCACUCCCACCGCAGACAACUUACUAUGGUUGGUUCUUUCCUACCAUGUGAGUCCCAGGGUUCUAACUAAGUCAGGCUUGGUGGCAAGUGCCUUUACCCACUCAGCCGUCUCCCGGCUGGCCCUCACCUGUUGGUUUUUGAGACGGGGUCUUUCUUACAUAGCCCUGGCUUGCCUGUGGCCCACUGUAGAUGUGGACCACACUAGCUUCCAUUCAUGGUAAUUCUCCUGCUUCCUGAGUCCUAGGCUUACAAGCUUAUGCUGCCAGACUGGCUUUUAGCCUGUCUUUCUGUAUACAAUUUUAGGCCAUGUGACGGUCACAUAGAUCACUUGUCCCCAACUGUGCCAAAUGUACACUCUUGCUUCCAGCUCCCCUACCAGUCCAAAUCCUGCUCCUGGGCCUUAACUUUCCUACUAGGCCCAGUUGUAAGGGAUGAUGACCCCACAUAAGGGGUAUGAGUGGCCCUACUGUUUCCUCUCACCCUCUGGUUCUGCCGCAGACUUUGUGGUGCUCGACGACACUCUCCAUGUCCAGGCCACUUACAUCUCUGGUGAACUGGUGUGGCAGGCAGAGGAAGCUGGGCUGUGACUGAGGGUCUUGGCUGGAAAGGACAUUUGGCUCCAGCUGGACAGUGACAGGCCGGGCAGUCCAUGGAGCUGGUCUCCAAGGAGGAAGCUGAGAGCCCUGCUCCAUGUCUAACCUCAGUCAUCACUUCUGGAGGGGAGGCAGUGGCCUGGAUAAAUACAGACAGCGGGACUUGCCUUGUCUGCAUC
rnacentral:lncRNA from 1 species